rnacentral:rRNA from 1 species
ACGAACGCUGGCGGCGUGCUUAACACAUGCAAGUCGAACGGAAAGGCCCUGCUUUUGUGGGGUGCUCGAGUGGCGAACGGGUGAGUAACACGUGAGUAACCUGCCCUUGACUUUGGGAUCACUUCAGGAAACUGGGGCUAAUACCGGAUAGGAGCUCCUGCUGCAUGGUGGGGGUUGGAAAGUUUCGGCGGUUGGGGAUGGACUCGCGGCUUAUCCGCUUGUUGGUGGGGGAGUGGCUUACCAAGGCUUUGACGGGUAGCCGGCCUGAGAGGGUGACCGGCCACAUUGGGACUGAGAUACGGCCCAGACUCCUCCGGGAGGCAGCAGUGGGGAAUAUUGCACAAUGGGCGGAAGCCUGAUGCAGCAACGCCGCGUGCGGGAUGACGGCCUUCGGGUUGUAAACCGCUUUCGCCUGUGACGAAGCGUGAGUGACGGUAAUGGGUAAAGAAGCACCGGCUAACUACGUG